rnacentral:rRNA from 1 species
UGGGGAAUUUUGGACAAUGGGCGAAAGCCUGAUCCAGCAAUGCCGCGUGCAGGAUGAAGGCCUUCGGGUUGUAAACUGCUUUUGUACGGAACGAAAAGUCUCGGGAUAAUACCCUGGGACCAUGACGGUACCGUAAGAAUAAGCACCGGCUAACUACGUGCCAGCAGCCGCGGUAAUACGUAGGGUGCAAGCGUUAAUCGGAAUUACUGGGCGUAAAGCGUGCGCAGGCGGUUAUAUAAGACAGAUGUGAAAUCCCCGGGCUCAACCUGGGAACUGCAUUUGUGACUGUAUAGCUAGAGUACGGUAGAGGGGGAUGGAAUUCCGCGUGUAGCAGUGAAAUGCGUAGAUAUGCGGAGGAACACCGAUGGCGAAGGCAAUCCCCUGGACCUGUACUGACGCU